rnacentral:lncRNA from 1 species
GCUGAGUCUAGGAAGGCUGGCAGAUUUCUCCUGAGAGGAUUUCAUAAAUCGCUUGCACAAGAGUCCCCACAUCAGGGUCUGCUUCUACGGAACCCAAUCUAAGACAACCUUUGUUGUGGUCAUGAAACUGCUGCUGCCAUCUCGCCUGAAGAUGAAGCCAGCAUACACUGCAGACAGGGCCCUGAUGCACCAACCCUGGGGCGUCCUGCAUUGGUUUUCCUGCUACAGGUACAGGAAUGCACUUCCCUGCUGUCUAAGACAAUCUGAGACCAGCAUCUUUGAUACUUAAAGCCAAAAACAUUAUAAAUUGAAUAAAAUUCAAGAAACAGACUUCUGGACAGCCAAGGUUGCCUUUCUGAAAAUACUGGCCUUGUCUCGGCUCAACUCAGAUGAAAAGAUGUCACUGGAAGCUCCCAGCAGAAAACAAGAGGUCCCCAGCAGAGCCUCUCCCUGCUCACCCCUCCUCCCACCUGGGCCACCACCCCAGACCAGGGCCAUGUGAAGGGGUGUAAGCAGAGCACCUCGAUGGAGGCUGCUACUUGGUGCAUUUAAGGCUAAUGCAGCCCCAAACCUUCUGGUUUUAUCACCAGGAAUUGGCGAUCUGGGAACAAUUGAGUUAAAUUAUUUUUGUAAUUAAGUCCAAAGUAAAGGUAACAUUCU